CCAGAGCAGUAGCAGCGUGCAGCAUUUUUGCCUUCCUGAUAAAACGGCUUAAUAAGUCAAAACCAGGACAAGAUUAAAUCCUGAACUGCAAAGGGAGUCGCUGCUGAUUUAAACCUUGCUGGAGGAUGCUUUCGAGUUCAUUGCAGUUUACAGUUCUCUUACUGAUUCCAUGCAGUGUCCAGGGAGAUCUGCUGUAUCAGUGGCCUCGCCAGGUCGUCUCUGAAGAAGGGAAAUCGGUCGAGUUCCAUUGCUAUCAAAAUGGAACAGUCCGGGACAACAUGUUCUGGUACCAACAGAGAUCUGGGCAGGCACUCACUUUAGUUGGGUACUUUUACAGUGGCGGAAAGCCUGAGUAUGGAGAUGGGUUCAAAAAUGGAUUUGACAUCAGCCGGACCAGCAAUGACAGAAUGUCAAAGCUCAAGGUGGAGAGAGUGCUGUUAAAGGACACGGCGAUCUAUCACUGCGGGACUGGAGAUAGGGCACAGAGCUACAAACUCAUCUGGCACCGUGACAAAAAGAAACCCGCCGCAGUCAAUCAACCCAGAUCUACUUCCUUCGUUUCAAAUCACCUAGUUUCAGUCGCCUACGCUUCGAUUUAAAACUUGUCCUAAAACAAAACAAAUCAAAACUGUUUCCAGGGAUGAGAAACUUAAUUAAUGUGGAUAGAUUGAAGAAUUUGGGACAGUUCCCUUUUGGAAAGAAGAAGGCUGAAAGGAGAUCUAAUAGCAGUUUACAUUGGUGGAAACUGAUGAAAAAAUAAAUUGUUAAUUUCCAAUCUGUGACUUGUGAUCCAAAAGGCAUGAAAAAAUAUGAAUUGAGUUCACGUUCCAUGGCUGAAUGUGGGGGAAAGGGGCAUGCGUUAAG